rnacentral:rRNA from 1 species
AAACUAAUUUAUUUUGGCGGCAUUUUAUAUAAUUAGAGGAAUUUGUCAUAUAAUCGACAAUCCACGAUAAAUUUCACUUUAAUUUAAAAUUUAUAUACCGCCAUCUCAAGAAAAAAUUAAAAAAUAUUUCUCUCAAAAAUAAAUAAAAAGUUAGGUCAAGGUGCAAUCAAUAUUAAAGAUUUAGAUGAAUUACAUUAAAAAUAAUUUAAAGAUUAUAAAUAAAUAUAAUUAUACAAAUAAGAAUUUAAAAGUAAUAUUAAAACAAUAUUAAAAUAUGAUAUAAAAAUUAAAUGUGCACACAUCGCCC